rnacentral:rRNA from 1 species
GGCGGCGUGCCUAAUACAUGCAAGUAGAACGCUGAAGGAGGAGCUUGCUCUUCUGGAUGAGUUGCGAACGGGUGAGUAACGCGUAGGUAACCUGCCUGGUAGCGGGGGAUAACUAUUGGAAACGAUAGCUAAUACCGCAUAACAUUGACUAUUGCAUGAUAGUCAAUUGAAAGGUGCAAAUGCACCACUACCAGAUGGACCUGCGUUGUAUUAGCUAGUUGGUGGGGUAACGGCACACCAAGGCUACGAUACAUAGCCGACCUGAGAGGGUGAUCGGCCACACUGGGACUGAGACACGGCCCAGACUCCUACGGGAGGCAGCAGUAGGGAAUCUUCGGCAAUGGACGGAAGUCUGACCGAGCAACGCCGCGUGAGUGAAGAAGGUUUUCGGAUCGUAAAGCUCUGUUGUAAGAGAAGAACGAGUGUGAGAGUGGAAAGUUCACACUGUGACG